rnacentral:lncRNA from 1 species
AGACCAGAGUGACAGGUUACCCGGCUAGGCUAUAUUUUCCAGCAGAUUAAGCUAAAAGCCUAAGAUGCUGAAAUAUGAAAUAUGAAGAACAAAGGAGAUGACAAGAUAUCCCUUUAUGGAAGCGUAUAGCAGAGGACUUCCAGGAAUUUGUUCUUGUUUUGACCAAAGGUGAAACAUUGUCUUCAAGGAAACGGAAUUGACACCUCAAGUUUACAGCUUAGGAAAAACCCAGAGUCCCCAUAUUUUAACGAGGCCAUCUGGGUGUCACAGAGGGCAUCUUCCAACAGGACUAGCUGUGGGCUCCUGAUUUUAAAAACUAGCCCCAUUCUAAUCUCUUUCUCCUAGAAAGGGAGAGCUGAGAGGGAAUAAGCUGUUACCCCAUCCAGCUCUUCUGAGACAAAGGAUCUCCUCCUGAAACAAGGACAUUGCGGACAUUCAGUAAAUGUUUGAAGAUCUGUGUCACCGUACAUCAUAUCUCACGAUCCCAGGACCUCUGGGACCCACGCAGACCCAGACAUGGAGAGGCCCUUUCUCCCCAACAGGCCAGGGUGGCAGUUGUAGCUCUGCCCCUAGCUCAGCAGGCCUGUCUCAGAUUAGGGGACUUUGCAGAACCUGAAGCCAUGGUCGUGACUGCCUGCUACUCUCAUUGCCCACCACUAUGGAACAGGGAGAGCGGCUCCAGCCUGGAAGUCAAGUGGCAUAGUCAUCUCUUGCUCGCUAGACCAGCACCUCUCGCAUUUGAA